UAGGAUAUUUCAGAUGAUUCA
rnacentral:siRNA from 1 species